GAUGAACGCUGGCGGCGUGCCUAAUACAUGCAAGUCGAGCGAACAGAUGAGGAGCUUGCUCCUCUUACGUUAGCGGCGGACGGGUGAGUAACACUUGGAUAACCUACCUAUAAGACUGGGAUAACUUCGGGAAACCGGAGCUAAUACCGGAUAAUAUAUUUAACCGCAUGGUUCAAUAGUGAAAGACGGUUUUGCUGUCACUUAUAGAUGGAUCCGCGCCGCAUUAGCUAGUUGGUAAGGUAACGGCUUACCAAGGCAACGAUGCGUAGCCGACCUGAGAGGGGGAUCGGCCACACUGGAACUGAGACACGGUCCAGACUCCUACGGGAGGCAGCAGUAGGGAAUCUUCCGCAAUGGGAGAAAGCCUGACGGAGAAACGCCGCGUGAGUGAUGAAGGUCUUCGGAUCGUAAAACUCUGUUAUUAGGGAAGAACAAAUGUGUAAGUAACUAUGCACGUCUUGACGGUACCUAAUCAGAAAGCCACGGCUAACUACGUG
rnacentral:rRNA from 1 species